rnacentral:miRNA from 2 species
AACCAGGCUCUGAUACCAUG